UACGUAGGGGGGCUAGCGUUGUCCGGAAUCAUUGGGCGUAAAGCGCGUGUAGGCGGCCCGGUAAGUCCGCUGUGAAAGUCGGGGGGCUCAACCCUCGGAUGCCGGUGGAUACUGUCGGGCUCGAGUGCGGAAGAGGCGAGUGGAAUUCCUGGUGUAGCGGUGAAAUGCGUAGAUAUUGGGGAGGAACACCAGUGGCGAAGGCGGCUCACUGGACCGGUACUGACGCUGAGGCGCGAAAGCGUGGGGAGCAAACGGGG
rnacentral:rRNA from 1 species